AGCUGACCUUUUUAUCUCUGGUUAUUGCCUCUCUCGAGAGCCGGAGCACCAAUAGAGCUACUUGGCAGCAGAUGUUUACUUUUAUUGUGGAAAUUUAUCACCGUACAGCCACAGUACUCUCUCUCUCUCUCUCUCUCUUUCUCUUUUCCACUCCACAUGCAGGAAGCCAGAGUCUCCUGCUUCUUAUCUGCUGCCUACAAGAGCAAAUGUACAGCAGAGAGUGACAGCAUGCCGGGCUCCACUGCUGGUAAUGCGCUCGCUUUAAUCAUCCUCGUGCAUGUACGACACGUCGGCUUUGAUGUUCCAUUACAACGGACAAGUUGGCGAAGGUUGGAGCGGAUCUAAAUUUAUUCGGUCCAUAGGAGUCGCAUUCUGCUCGCCUCUUCACUCACACUUGAGCAUAGAGCGAGUGGCCAUUCAUCAAAUGAAGAAAGAGGCCGGGAAGAUGAAUUUAUCAGUGGAAGCUAAAAUUUUGCUAAGUGGACAACAACAUCUCCACAAAGAGCUGCAGCUGACCGCACUCAGGACUUCUCUUCCUGAAUGGCUCGCUCUGAGAGAAGUGGAUGCAGAGGCAGGCGGCUGAUGACGGCGAACAGCAGGAGGAGCAGGGGCAGAGAUGAUGGAUGAAGCAACAGGCAGGGGAAUGCAGGACCUACAGCAACUCUACACACACACAACCUGCAGCGACAGGCUCCUGUUCCCUACAGAUCGGAGCGACGGAGCCGAGGAUGAGUCACCGUCCGGGCUGCUCCCGACUAUCACAACAGCACGGACAGAAAUCUCAACCUCCCAAAACCCAGAGGAGCCGCGUCAUGCGACACCGAACAGGUGGACUGUCGAAUGCAACACAAUUAGAGAGCAGUUUUAACAGCUCAGGGAGCCAAGAGACGAACAGACAGCGUACAGCUUCCCUCCAACUGGAUAGAAAAAUAACAUUUACAAAGAUCCAUUAAUCUGCUUAUUCUCUCAAUAAAACCGGGGCUUCACUGAAGCGACUGUACUGUGCAAGCUACACAAGGUCACUUAAAAACAACGUGCGUGUUGGACGGUCAUUAUUUCAGAACACAAAAAAACAAAAAAAAAAAAAA